UACAACCAUAUCAUGUUGAAACACUGAUUCUCAUACAAUCACCAAAGUUAAGCAAUGUCAAGCCUGGUCAGUACCUAGAUGGGUGACCACUUGGGAAUACCAAGUGCUGUAAU